rnacentral:rRNA from 1 species
UACAGAGGUGCCAAGCGUUGUUCGGAUUUAUUGGGCGUAAAGGGUGCGGUAGGUGGUCAUACAAGUCGGGUGUGAAAUCCCGGAGCCUAAACUCCCGGAACGGCACUCGAAACUGUUUGACUGGAGGUCUAGGAGAUGGUGACUGGAAUUCUCGGUGUAGCAGUGAAAUGCGUAGAUAUCGAAGAGGAACACCAGAGGCGAAGGCGAGUCACUGGACAAGAACCUGACACUGAGGCACGAAAGCUAGGGGAGCAAACGGG